rnacentral:rRNA from 1 species
CAGUCGCCGCGGGAAUACGUAGGGUGCGAGCGUUAAUCGGAAUUACUGGGCGUAAAGCGUGCGCAGGCGGUUUUGUAAGACAGGCGUGAAAUCCCCGGGCUCAACCUGGGAAUGGCGCUUGUGACUGCAAAGCUAGAGUGCGGCAGAGGGGGAUGGAAUUCCGCGUGUAGCAGUGAAAUGCGUAGAUAUGCGGAGGAACACCGAUGGCGAAGGCAAUCCCCUGGGCCUGCACUGACGCUCAUGCACGAAAGCGUGGGGAGCAAACAGGAUUAGAUACCCGAGUAGUCCCUGUCUCUUAUAC